rnacentral:rRNA from 1 species
ACGGGAGGCAGCAGUGGGGAAUAUUGGGCAAUGGGCGAAAGCCUGACCCAGCAACGCCGCGUGAAGGAAGAAGGCCUUCGGGUUGUAAACUUCUUUUACCAGGGACGAAGGACGUGACGGUACCUGGAGAAAAAGCAACGGCUAACUCCGUGCCAGCAGCCGCGGUAAUACGGAGGAUCCGAGCGUUAUCCGGAUUUAUUGGGUUUAAAGGGUGCGCAGGCGGCUUUUUAAGUCAGUGGUUAAAUCGUGACGCUCAACGUCAUCACGCCAUUGAUACUGGAGAGCUUGAUUGCGGUCGAGGUUUGCGGAAUUCGUUGUGUAGCGGUGAAAUGCAUAGAUAUGACGAAGAACACCGAUUGCGUAGGCAGCAGACCAGGCCGUAAAUGACGCUCAUGCACGAAAGUGCGGGGAUCGAACAGGAUUAGAUACCCUGGUA